rnacentral:rRNA from 1 species
UGGGGAAUUUUGGACAAUGGGCGAAAGCCUGAUCCAGCAAUGCCGCGUGUGUGAAGAAGGCCUUCGGGUUGUAAAGCACUUUUGUCCGGAAAGAAAUCCUUGGCUCUAAUACAGUCGGGGGAUGACGGUACCGGAAGAAUAAGCACCGGCUAACUACGUGCCAGCAGCCGCGGUAAUACGUAGGGUGCAAGCGUUAAUCGGAAUUACUGGGCGUAAAGCGUGCGCAGGCGGUUUGCUAAGACCGAUGUGAAAUCCCCGGGCUCAACCUGGGAACUGCAUUGGUGACUGGCAGGCUAGAGUAUGGCAGAGGGGGGUAGAAUUCCACGUGUAGCAGUGAAAUGCGUAGAGAUGUGGAGGAAUACCGAUGGCGAAGGCAGCCCCCUGGGCCAAUACUGACGCUCAUGCACGAAAGCGUGGGGAGCAAACAGGAUUAGAUACCCUGGUAGUCCACGCCCUAAACGAUGUCAACUAGUUGUUGGGGAUUCAUUUCCUUAGUAACGUAGCUAACGCGUGAAGUUGACCGCCUGGGGAGUACGGUCGCAAGAUUAAAACUU